UACAGAGGGUGCGAGCGUUAAUCGGAAUUACUGGGCGUAAAGGGCGCGUAGGCGGCCUUCUAAGUCGAACGUGAAAUCCCCGGGCUCAACCCGGGAACUGCGUCCGAUACUGGAAGGCUUGAAUCCGGGAGAGGGAUGCGGAAUUCCAGGUGUAGCAGUGAAAUGCGUAGAUAUCAGGAGGAACACCGGUGGCGAAGGCGGGUCUCUGGGCCGAUACUGACGCUGAGGAGCGAAAGCGUGGGGAGCGAACAGG
rnacentral:rRNA from 1 species